rnacentral:rRNA from 1 species
AUUGAACGCUGGCGGCAGGCCUAAUACAUGCAAGUCGAACGAGUGGCGGACGGGUGAGUAAUGUCUGGGAACCUGCCUGACGGAGGGGGAUAACUACUGGAAACGGUAGCUAAUACCGCUUACCAUCAGUUCUGCCCAGAUGGGAUUAUCUUGUGGGUGGGGUAACGGCUCACCAAGGCGACGAUCCCUAGCUGGUCCGAGAGGAUGACCAGCCACACUGGAACUGAGACACGGUCCAGACUCCUACGGGAGGCAGCAGUGGGGAAUAUUGCACAAUGGGCGAAAGCCUGAUGCAGCCAUGCCGCGGGUGUGAAGAAGGCCUGCGGGUUGUAAAGUACUUUCAGCGGGGAGGCGUUACCCGCAGAGGAAGCACCGGCUAACUCCGUGCCAGCAGCCGCGGUAAUAC